AACUUGAGUGCCCCUGAGAUACUCAUUUGGAAUUGGGGUUACAUAAAUACAGAGCUUAAAGAGAAGCAGAAUUGGGACUCUCCGUGCUACAAGAAACUUGCAGCCAUCCAUGGAAAACACUUUGACUAAAAAUUUCAGGUGUACAAUAAAACGAUUGGACAAUUCUAUACAUUUCUCAGUUUUCAUCAAGAGAGAGAGAGCACAGCAAGGGGAGUGGCAGGCAGAGGAAGAGGGAGAAGCAAGUUCCCCAUGGAGCAGGGAGCCCGAUGCAGGGCUGAAUCCCAGGACCCUGGAAUCAUGACCUGAGCUGAAGGCAGACGUUUAACCAACUGAGCCACCCAGAUGCCCCAAUUUAUUUAUAUUUUAGCAUUACUUUGAGGAACAAAGUUCCAAAAUCU